rnacentral:SRP_RNA from 1 species
UGUUGGUUCUCCCACAACACUAACUUGUUAACUCGGUCAGGUCCGGAAGGAAGCAGCCAUGGCAGGUGUCGUGUGUGCCGGGAUGUCGCUGGCAAGG